rnacentral:rRNA from 1 species
AUUGAACGCUGGCGGUAUGCUUAACACAUGCAAGUCGAACGGCAGCAUGGUGUGUAGCAAUACACACUGAUGGCGAGUGGCGGACGGGUGAGAAACGCGUAGGAAUUUGCCCUAUAGAGGGGGACAACCCGAGGAAACUCGGGCUAAUACCGCAUAAUACUCUUCGGAGGAAAGGCUGGGUGGUAACACCUGGCGCUAUAGGAGAAGCCUGCGUCUGAUUAGCUAGUUGGUAGGGUAAAGGCCUACCAAGGCGAUGAUCGGUAGCUGGUCUGAGAGGAUGAUCAGCCACACUGGGACUGAGACACGGCCCAGACUCCUACGGGAGGCAGCAGUGGGGAAUAUUGGACAAUGGGGGCAACCCUGAUCCAGCAAUACCGCGUGUGUGAAGAAGGCCUUCGGGUUGUAAAGCACUUUAGGCGGGGAAGAAGGCGUGUAGUUUAAGAGAUGACACGUUUGACUGUACCCGCAGAAUAAGCACCGGCUAACUCUGUGCCAGCCGCCGCCGUAACAC